GAUUAUCUUCCCCCCCCCCAAAUCCCGUCUUUGUUCUCUCUCGUAACGUAGAGAAAAUUUUUUUUAGAGAGUAAAUAGAAAAGGGAGAAACUUUUCACUGAAUUCUUUGAUUUUUACUCAGAGAAAGAAAGAUCGAUGAGAAGUCAUGGUUUGGAUUCCGUCCGUCGAGCUCUUGGAUUAAUAUGUUUCUAUUUUUUGUCCAAAAUUCUGAAAAAAUUUCUCAUUUGUUUUUGAUACAUCUUGGGACUUGUGCUGCGAGAAAUCUUAUACUUCUUGUCUCGUAGAGAAAACAACGACAGAACAUGAAGACGCCUUGUGGGUUCUAGAAACUCACCUGGUAGUGUGGAUGUCAAGGAUCAAUGGGAACACUUGUCUGGAUAUAGAGGUAUUAUUGGUCAUAAAAGGGUUAUGGUAUUCCUGGGGGGAAAAACAGCAGCUCUUCUGAGAAAACCAAAUCAGAAUGGGUGUGCACGAGUUUCACUACACCCUCUUACCUGAAGUCUGAAGACAAGGAAUUCAUAUAACACUCUUUAUCUCUUUGGUUUAUGAUCUGAUUCAUAUGACUUUCUUAGGAUGCUUGUUUUGUGUCAAUAGUUGUGUGCUAAUUACUCAUCAAUGCUAUAAAUUAUAUAUUAGUUGUUAAGGGAUGUUUUUACCGACAAAAUAGAAGUUGAGGUUUGAAAUCUCUUUUUGGCUUACCUUUUAACACUUGUGAAUCUUAUGUGCUUUGUUACUAGUUUUUGUACAGAGAACCUACGCGUGCUUGCAGUCGGAAAGUUUUAUUAUUUAUGGCUUUGUUAUUUUAUUGUCAGGAGAUGUAUGGCAUUUGCAUAGUUGAAUCAAUGGUUAGGUGUUAUGAGAAUGUCGUGGCUUGUUUUUGAAUAUAGCUAGGAUAUAAUCGAUCAAAGAUCUUGAAACAGGUGAUCUUGUGUGGGUUUUAAAAAGUGAACGCUAAGGCAUGAGGCGACCUCAGUUGGAGAGGUCAUCGCCUUGCAGAGGUGAGGCGAUGCGUUUUCAGGAAGGCGACGCUCCACCACGCUUCACACCGCCUUUGACGCCUCACGCCUCACGCCUCACACGCAUUGGACGCCUCUGCAUAAAAAAAGGGCGGACAAGCUUUUGUCUGCAGAGUUCCAGCCUUCUCUAGAGGAGUUGAUACCGUUUCUGCCACAAAAUCGUUAGUUUUUGAUGUAUUCCGCUACAUUUCAUGUCACUGUAAAGGCUUUUAAGGAUCGACGCUAUUUGUUAUCAACCUCAUGGAUGUUGUUUAAGUAUUUUGGAUUUUUAAAACGUGAGAAUCCUUUUUGAAUGUUUAAAACUUGGUGUGUUGCAAAAGAAAUAUAUUUAACACAUGUAAAACUCUAAAAUAUAUAUAAUAUUAAAAAGGGGAAAAAAAAUUUAUAAAAAAAAAUUCACAUGCCGUCAUAUAUAGAUUUAGUGAUAUUCUACAAAAAAUUUCAUCAAAAACGGAUAUAAAAUCAACGCGAAAGAUAAACAUUUAUCAUCAUUUUUAGAUUUUAAAACCGUUUAUGUUUCAUAAAAUUUGUUUUGUUUUAUUCAUGUUAAAAUAAUAAUAUAAAAAAUACUCAUGUAAAACGUGCAGCCGUUAUAUACAUAAAUUUAAUAUUCUAAUUAUACUUAGUAAUUCUUGGUAAUCUUCAAGGUAGUAGUAAUACCACCUUACACAUAGUAAUACUUUGGUAAAUUUUAAGUUUUAUUAGUAAAACCAUGUCCAAAUGUAAUAUUUUGUAGUAAAACCAAUGAUUUUAUACAGUGUAUGUCAUUAAGGAAAAAUAUUACAUAAACAGUUUACCAGAAAUAAGUAUUUUUAUAGAUUCUCCUUACUAUAGUCUAACGAUUCACAUAACAACCAUGAAAGUUAAGGCAUCAUUUUGGGAAAAUGGUAAAUAUUCCUAAAACUAUAGAAAAUAAUCAUCUAAAUAGUUUUAAUAGUCUUAUUUACUAUAUACAUUGUCUACUAAUAGAUAAUAUAUGAGUUCUAUAUGUUAAAUAUACGUACUACUUGCAAUAUAUAUGGGUUUCAAAUUACACAUAAUAAAACCAAGUAAUCCUAGUAGUCAGAAUUAACAUAAUAAACCCAGUAAUCCUAGUAUUCCGAAUUACACACAGUAAAUUCAGGAAUCUUAGUAGUCGGAUUACACACAAUAAACCCAGUAAUCCUAGUUGUCAGGUUAUACACAAUGAAAACAUAAUAAAUAAAAGCUUGUCUUAAUUAUUCCUCUACAUGCCAUUGCGUAUGAUACAUCCACACCAAUCCUGUGUAUAACCAAAUCAAUGUUACUGUCCUUUCUGAAAGUUUUCUAGGUAAAAGUUAUCUAAAUUUUCAGAACAACGAUCUCAGGGAACAAUUAUAUAUUUGCAUCAUCACUUUUAGGGUAAUUCAGUUUUCAGUUAUUUCGGUUAGUUAUUUUAGUCCGCUCAAAAAAUUUAUCAGAAAUUAUGAGACUUUGUUAAGAACUAUCAGCAGAUUCUCCACGCUAGUGUGGUUGGUCACGAGCUUGAUGUGGAGAAGCAAAGAUAUGGGGUAUGUUCUGAUGAAGUAUCCAAAGCUGUUAGGGUUUAAGCUCGAAGGGAUAAUGAGUACAUCAAUUGCUUAUUUAGUACGCAUUGGUGUGAGUCCUAGAGAUAUUGGUCCAGUUGUGACUCAAUAUCCUCAUCUAUUGAGAAUGAGAGCUGGAACAAUGAUCAAACCUCUUGCAGAUUACCUCAUUUCCAUCAGAAUUGUGGCUAGGAUUGGUAGAGAAACAUGCUUAUAUCGCCGGGUACAGCCUCAAGGAGACUGUUAAACAAAUUUAGAUUGUUUGAUUAGCUUUGGCGUCAAGGAAUAGUUGCAUACUUUAUUUAAUGAUAUUCCAGAAUUUUUUUUUUUUCAAAUUUUUUUUCUUCCAAAAUAAAAUUGCUAACUUUGGUUACCGGUAAAGGACAAGAUGUCUACACAACACUACUUUUUCAGCGUGAAGCUCAAGAUUGAUCCUGAAGGAUUUGCUCGUGUUGUUGAGUAGAUGCCAGAAGUUGUAAGCCUUAAGCAGUUAAGCAUAACGUGAUAAUGAAACCUUUAAUGAUAUUCCAGAAUUUUUUUUUUUUCAAAUUUUUUUUCUUCCAAAAUAAAAUUGCUAACUUUGGUUACCGGUAAAGGACAAGAUGUCUACACAACACUACUUUUUCAGCGUGAAGCUCAAGAUUGAUCCUGAAGGAUUUUUUUUCGUCAAGGAAUAGUUGCUAACUUUGGUUACCGGUAAAGGACAAGAUGUCUACACAACACUACUUUUUCAGCGUGAAGCUCAAGAUUGAUCCUGAAGGAUUUGCUCGUUUUGUUGAGUAGAUGCCACGAGUUGUAAGCCUUAAGCAGUUAAGCAUAACGUGAUAGUGAAACCUUUUAGAGUUUCUGUUAGGAAUUUAUGGAACUGGUUCCUCAACUGCAGUGACAAAAGGUUUGAGGAACGGUUGGAAUGUAACUUUACUGAUGCAUUUAUGCCUAGUAAAUAGUAAUGGUAGUGAAGAAGUUGUAUCUUGCGUUAUUUACAUUAUCUAUGAGAUACAUCUUGUUUUAAUGAUAUUUCAGAAAAUAAUAUCUUCAAAAUCAGACAUAAUAAACCCACAAAAAAAAAACAGUUUUAAAAUUUAUUUUCAUUUUUUCAAAAUACUCAUCAAAUCUUACAUUCUUUACUUUACCCACGAUGUCUACUUUAUUUAAUGAUAUUCCAGAAUUUUUUUUUUUUCAAAUUUUUUUUCUUCCAAAAGUAGGCAUAAUAAACCCACCAAUUGAUAAAUACAUAGUUUUUUUUAAAAAAAUCCAGUCUCUCAAAAUACUCAUCAAAAUUUACAUUUUUUACUUUACCCAUGAUGUAUACGUUGUUUUAAUGAUAUUUCAUUAAAAAAAAUCAAAAACACGGCAAUAAUAAACCCCUCCAACCCAUAAAUACAGUUUUUAAAAUCAUUUUCAAUCUCUCGAAAUAGUCAUCAAAUCUUACAUUCUUCUUAUUACUCAUGAUGUAAAAUUCAUUAUAAUGAUAAUUCUGAACAAAUUUCAUCAAAAACAGAUGUGUUAUUACAUAUUCUUUAAAGCUUCAGUUCAUCAAUACGGAGGAAGGAGGACACAUAUGUGGAGACGAAGAAAAAAAUUGGACCCCACCUAAAUUUAAUUGGUUAAGAUUUAUUGUGGAACCCAUAUGUGAAUUGAUUUGUAAAUAGUUUGUUUAAUUCAUGAAUUGGUGAAGUGGCCAUCCGUUUCUAAAAAAUAGACUUUUUAGUAUUUUCGCACAUAUUAAAAAAACGCGUUAAACUAUCAUAAUAAGUGUAUCAUUUUCUGUAAUUUUCAAUUUUCAAUAACUUUUAGCCAAUAGUAAUUCAAUAAAGUCAAUUAAUUCUCUUGAAGUUUACAAUUUUUUCAUAGAAAACACCAAAAAUAUAUCUUUCUGAAACAAAUUUUUUUUCUAAAAAAUCUAUCAUUAAGGAACGGAUGGAGUAUUAAACAAUUAUAAGGUAAUUUAGGAAUAACAAGGAGAGAAGGAUACUGAAAAUAGAGAAGAGAUAAAGAUUUUCUUUUAAAAGGGCAUAUUAAGUUAAAGUCCGUUGGGGAUUCUACUAAGAUUAUUAGCUCAAUAUACCCCUUCCUCUCUUGGAAAAUUCUAAUUUAUCCCAUCAAUUAAAACAAUUUCUUUUUUAUUUAUUUUUAAAUUCGAAACCGAGUUAAAGACCUUUGUACCCUUAAUAAAAUGGACUUAUUACUUUGACCCAACCUAACUAUCCGACUCCGACCCAAACCCAACCGGGUCAACCUCAGAUUUUUAACAUAAACUCUAAACGACGCCGUAAAAUGUUAUGUCUCUCAUUUCUCUAAAUCCCCAGUCUCGACUCUCUCUCGAGACGAGAGACGAUAGAAACGGCCACGGCUCCGACCCGACUUUCUCUUCUGUUUCCAUUAACAUCAAGCCUCCAAUCGAGCCUUCGUCGAUAUUCUUCAUCUUUCUUCUAACUUUCUUAGACCUAAACGCAAAGUCACGAAUCUUUUUCUUCUUCUUUCUCUCUCGUUCAAUUGAAAAGGCGACGACUAGUAACCCAAAUCCGCGAUUCUCUUUGUUUCUUCUUUAUUCUCCAUCGAAAUCAAUGUUUCAACCGACGGUCUUCAUCUUCUUCCUACUUUUGUAAAUCAUGGUUUGGGAUAUAGAGAAGAUGCAGGUUUAAACUUGGAGAGUGAUGCUGAUGAAUAACUCCGAAUCUAUAUUCCUUUUAACCAGUCUCUUAGUGGUGACUUGAGCUGUGAGAUUUUAAAUUUUUGUGAUCAGAAAAGACUCUGACCUUGGUAGAUUGUAUGUAGAGAUGAAGAGGCUUAAUAGAUGGAAUAUGUUUUUCUUGGUAGAUAGCUUGCUUAGAGGUGUCCUACUUGUGCUUAGUUGCUUAGAUUGAAUCUAGGGUUAGAUUUUUCUUUAAGUUCCAGUUAGCUACAAAGGAAUCAAAUAUUAUUAGCUGCUAUAAGAUCUUCUGCUGUCUUUAGUAACAGGACAAUGUUGUGGAACCGUUGCUUGUUGGCAAUACCGGUAGGACUUAAGCAAAAGGACAAUGUUGACGCUCUUGUACAGAAGUUUCUUCCGGAGAAUUUCACAGAGGUGAGUUGAGGAAGACAAGAACUGGGUCGACCGAUCUCGACAAGGAACCGUAUCAGCAAUAAUCGAAGGUUUAAGCGGAGUUGUGUGAUAUCAAGUUCAUUGCAGAGGCAAGCUGAACAUAUUACGAAAUAAACACAUACAGUUUUGUAAUCAAAUCAGAUUAAAUGUAGAAAAAGAUUUAAAUAUAUGUUAACAUUUAAUUAUACACUCGAUUUUUAUUAGUGUAGUUUUCAUUAUCUUCUUUAGAUGUGACACAUUCUCCUUUCAUCUUUGAUUAAUUCCCAUUA